GAUGAACGCUGGCGGCGUGCCUAAUACAUGCAAGUCGAGCGAAUGGAUUAAGAGCUUGCUCUUAUGAAGUUAGCGGCGGGCGGGUGAGUAACACGUGGGUAACCUGCCCAUAAGACUGGGAUAACUCCGGGAAACCGGGGCUAAUACCGGAUAAUAUUUUGAACUGCAUGGUUCAAAAUUGAAAGGCGGCCUCGGCUGUCACUUAUGGAUGGACCCGCGUCGCAUUAGCUAGUUGGUGAGGUAACGGCUCACCAAGGCAACGAUGCGUAGCCGACCUGGGAGGGUGAUCGGCCACACUGGGACUGAGACACGGCCCAGACUCCUACGGGAGGCAGCAGUAGGGAAUCUUCCGCAAUGGACGAAAGUCUGACGGAGCAACGCCGCGUGAGUGAUGAAGGCUUUCGGGUCGUAAAACUCUGUUGUUAGGGAAGAACAAGUGCUAGUUGAAUAAGCUGGCACCUUGACGGUACCUAACCAGAAAGCCACGGCUAACUACGUGCCAGCCGCCGCCGUAA
rnacentral:rRNA from 1 species